rnacentral:tRNA from 1 species
AAUGAGAUGGCUGAAGUUUAGGCGGUAAAUUGUAAAUUUAUUUAUGAAUAUGAAAUUCUUUCAUU